CAAUAGCGUAUAUUUAAGUUGUUGCAGUUAAAAAGCUCGUAGUUGGAUUUCGGUUAAGAGCGACCGGUCCGCCGUUUGGUGUGCACUGGUUGGUUUUAACUUCCUGUAGAGGACGUGCUCUGGGUUUAACGACCUGGACUCGGAGUCUACGUGGUUACUUUGAAAAAAUUAGAGUGUUCAAAGCGGGCUUACGCUUGAAUAUUUCAGCAUGGAAUAACACUAUAGGACUCCUGUCCUAUUUCGUUGGUCUCGGGACGGGGGUAAUGAUUAAGAGGAACAGUUGGGGGCAUUCGUAUUUCAUUGUCAGAGGUGAAAUUCUUGGAUUUAUGAAAGACGAACUUCUGCGAAAGCAUUUGCCAAGGAUGUUUUCAUUA
rnacentral:rRNA from 1 species